UACAGAGGUGGCAAGCGUUGUUCGGAAUUACUGGGCGUAAAGGGCGCGUAGGCGGUGCUCUAAGUCCCGUGUGAAAUCCCCCGGCUCAACUGGGGAAUGGCACGGGAAACUGGAGUGCUUGAGUUCGGGAGAGGGAAGCGGAAUUCCGGGUGUAGCGGUGAAAUGCGUAGAUAUCCGGAGGAACACCGGUGGCGAAGGCGGCUUCC
rnacentral:rRNA from 1 species